CUCGGAGCAGCUCUGCGAGCUCGGCUCUGCCGCACCCCGCGGAGCUCACACUCGACCUUCCAGAGAAGGGUGUGGACACCGUGGGAGGUUGGGGAGGCCUCGGCCUAGGCUUCUGCGGUCUU
rnacentral:precursor_RNA from 7 species